UUGAAUUUUGGGUUUGAAGUUCAUGAUGGUUUGCAGUUUAUAUAUGGAUAGAUGUAUAAUUUAGCUUGGUUAAUGUUGAUGUGUUCAAUAGACCAUAAGCUAUUUAUUUUAGAUUUAGAUGUGAUCAAUAUAUAUAUAAAUUUAGAUGCAUGGAAAUUAAGAAACAUAUAUUAUAACAAAUACUUCUCAUGACUUGUCAUCUUAAAAAAAUUAUGGGUUUUAUUAUUUUGGUUUGCACAUUGUUGCUGCCAGUUAUAAAUGUGAUGCUUUUUCAACUAGCUUAUUGCUGUUUUUGCAUGUGUGAUUUUUAGAUGAGUUAGAAAAUAAAAUCUUUUUUAUAAUGCAGUGUUGUAAAGCUUAUAUUUGUUCGUGUUAUUAUCUAUAAUCUGUAUAAUUGUUCUUUAUUUUCUAUUUUUUUAUUUUAUUUCUUGAGCUAAUUUGCUUGUUUCUUUUCUUGUUUUGCAUUGAUUUUUACCACAAUGCAUGUGAGGGAGACGUGGCCUAGAACAGAUCUGGAAGACAAAAUUUAGUGGAAGAUGGCAAUACACAUGCAGUGUGGAAGAUGGCAAUACCCUGCAAAACCACUGCUGCAAGCAAAUAAACUGCUGCAACCAAAUCUCUCUGCUGGAAAACCGAUGAAACAGGGAAGUGUUGAAAAGAAUGUGAUGAGUCAUGACUAUUAUGAAAGUAGCCUUUUAUUUCUUUUUCAUCUUUUAAUUUUUCUUCUUCAAUAAUGAGUACAGUUAUCAGAAUGUAAAACAGAUACGUGGAUUUUUUUUUUUUUUUUUAC